rnacentral:rRNA from 1 species
GACGAACGCUGGCGGCAUGCCUAAUACAUGCAAGUCGAGCGAACAGAUGAAGUGCUUGCACUUCUGACGUUAGCGGCGAACGGGUGAGUAACACGUAAGGAAUCUACCUAUAAGCGGGGGAUAACAUUCGGAAACGGGUGCUAAUACCGCAUAAUAUCUUCUUCCGCAUGGAAGAAGAUUGAAAGACGGCUCUGCUGUCACUUAUAGAUGACCUUGCGGUGCAUUAGUUAGUUGGUGGGGUAACGGCCUACCAAGACGAUGAUGCAUAGCCGGGCCGAGAGGGGGAUCGGCCAACUUGGGACUGAGACACGGCCCAAACUCCUACGGGAGGCAGCAGUAGGGAAUCUUCCGCAAUGGGCGAAAGCCUGACGGAGCAAUGCCGCGUGAGUGAAGAAGGCCUUCGGGUCGUAAAACUCUGUUAUAAGAGAAGAACAAAUUGUAGAGUAACUGCUACAGUCUUGACGGUAUCUUAUCAGAAAGCCACGGCUAACUACGUGCCAGCCGCCGCCGUAA